AAAGACAAAACAAAACCACUCAUUUUGUUGCAGUCCCAAAAUCAACGGACCACUCUUCUCCUCUUUCUAUCUCUCUCUUUUCUUUCUUUUUCUUCUUCUUUCUUUCUCCUCUUUCUUCUCUUCAUCACCAUAACCGAACCGCCUCCUUCUCCCUGCUCAAACACUUAUGUUUCUUCACCAAAAUAAGAUAUUAUGGAGAAUUAAAGGCAUAUACCACGCUUUUGAAGUUUAUUUUGUAAGAUCGAACAUUUAAGAAGGGAGAGACCUCCAAAUCCAAGGGAAAGGAGCAAAUUGGAGCAUAAAAAGAUUGAGGCUCAUUGGGUUAGGAUGUCUGUGUCAGGCUCCUAAGACACUGUGGACGAGGAGGCAGAGAGCUAUGAUCCACCCAUUCCUCCUGUUGCACAUGUUGCUACUGUUCCUAUUGGUUCGACUGAUCGCCGUGCUCCCAGAUAUGGUUAGGAUGCAUUCCUCCAACAGAUGGCUGACAUACUGAGGCAGGCUGUUGGUGCAGCUCCUCCAGUUUAUGUUCCUGCUCCCAAGCCACCGAUUGAGAGGUUGAGGAAAUAUGGGGUUGUCGAGUUCAAAAGCCGAAAGUCAAAUGAUGCGUCUGUUGCAGGGUACUGGUUAGAGAGUACUGAGCGAAUCUUCAAGCAAAUGUAGUGUAUUCCUGCUGAUUGCCUGAUAUGUGGAGUAUCUUUGCAUAAGGAGGAAGCGUACCAAUGGUGGGAUACAGUUUCCCAAUCUGUUGAUGUCCAUAGAAGGACAUGAGACUUCUUUCUAUCUGAGUUCAGGAAGAAGUAUGUUGGAGAUUUAUAUGUGGAGCAGAGGAAGACUGAGUUCAUGGAGCUUCGACAGGGUAGGAUGACUGUUUCAGAGUAUGAGAGAGAAUUUGUCAGACUGAGUAGGUAUGCUAGAGAGUUGGUGUCCUAUGAGGAGGAGAGUUGCAAGAAGUUUAGGAAAGGCUUGCACGACGUUUGAGGAUGCAUUUGGUAGCUCACCAUCACACUGAGUUUUCUACUCUAGUAUUUGCUACACUGGAACUCGAGGAGGUUAGGACUGACCAGCAAAAUAGGAGAUCUAGAUCCCAGUAGUUCAAGAGACCUCAGAGUCAGUCAGGUAGUUGAUUUCAUAGCCAAUUGGAGGAUAAGAUGCAGAGGUCACUUCAGCCAUUAGGGUGUAGCCCGACAGAGGUCACGGAUAUGAAACUUCAUCUUUUAGAUCUGCUGUGCAAUCGACUUCUGUAGCCAGUACCGGAGGGUCUGGUCGGAGUGAGUAUCCUACAUGUGCCCAUUGUGGUAAGAGACAUACAGGUGAGUGUCGUAGAGUCACAGGUGCUUGUUUCAAAUAUGGUUCUAUAGAUAAUCUAUUCAGAGAUUGUCCAAUGGACUCUACUACCACAGUUCUGCCUCGGUCAGAGAGGUAUGCUCCAGCUGCAUCUAGAGGCAGAGGUGGAGGUCGUACAAACUCAGUGGGUACAGUUGGGCAGAGAUUAUCAAAUUAAAUUGAUGGAAUUAAUAAUGUAUUUAGAAAAUUAAUUUAUUAAACUAAUUUAAUUAGAUUUAUUUGUAACU